UACGUAGGGUGCAAGCGUUGUCCGGAAUUAUUGGGCGUAAAGAGCUCGUAGGCGGUCUGUCGCGUCGGCUGUGAAAACCCGGGGCUCAACCCCGGGCCUGCAGUGGGUACGGGCAGACUAGAGUGCGGUAGGGGAGAUUGGAAUUCCUGGUGUAGCGGUGGAAUGCGCAGAUAUCAGGAGGAACACCGAUGGCGAAGGCAGAUCUCUGGGCCGUAACUGACGCUGAGGAGCGAAAGCGUGGGGAGCGAACAGG
rnacentral:rRNA from 1 species